GGGCCCGCACAAGCGGUGGAGUAUGUGGUUUAAUUCGAUGCAACGCGAAGAACCUUACCAGGGUUUGACAUCCUGCGAAUCUCUUGGAAACGAGAGAGUGCCUUCGGGAACGCAGUGACAGGUGGUGCAUGGCUGUCGUCAGCUCGUGUCGUGAGAUGUUGGGUUAAGUCCCGCAACGAGCGCAACCCACGUCUUUAGUUGCCAGCAUUUAGUUGGGCACUCUAGAGAGACUGCCGGUGAUAAACCGGAGGAAGGUGUGGAUGACGUCAAGUCAUCAUGCCCCUUACAUCCUGGGCUACACACGUACUACAAUGGCGCAUACAGAGGGUUGCGAAACUGUGAAGUGGAGCUAA
rnacentral:rRNA from 1 species